rnacentral:rRNA from 1 species
CUGGUGCCAGCAGCCGCGGUAAUUCCAGCUCCAAUAGCGUAUAUUAAAGUUGUUGCAGUUAAAAAGCUCGUAGUUGAACUUCGGGGUCUACCCAUUGGUCAGGCUUAAUUGUCUGCACUGGUGAGAUGGAUCUCUACCUUCUGAGGAACUUUCAUGCCAUUUAUUUGGUGUGAUGGGAAAUCAGGACUGUUACUUUGAAAAAAUUAGAGUGUUUAAAGCAGACUAUCGUCUGAAUACAUUAGCAUGGAAUAAUGAAAUAGGACGGACUGAUUCUAUUUCGUUGGUUUCUAGGAUCACCGUAAUGAUUAAUAGGGAUAGUUGGGGGCAUUAGUAUUCAAUUGUCAGAGGUGAAAUUCUUGGAUUUAUUGAAGACUAACUACUGCGAAAGCAUUUGCCAAGGAUGUUUUCAUUAAUCAAGAACGAAAUUUAGGGGAUCGAAGACGAUCAGAUACCGUCGUAGUCUUAACCAUAAACUAUGCCGACUAGGGAUCGGACGAAG